rnacentral:rRNA from 1 species
UUUUUUUGUGGAGGGUUCGAUUCUGGCUCAGGAUGAACGCUGGCGGCGUGCUUAACACAUGCAAGUCGAACGGGAUCCAUCAGGCUUUGCUUGGUGGUGAGAGUGGCGA